GGGUUACCCUGGUUGCGUGGAUUUUGGCACUCUCAUACUUCAUUGCAUACUUGGAGACUCUGGCCAUUUCUAAUUUCCCUUACUACCAAUUUGUUGAUCGAGCUUCAAUGUACAAAGUUGGCUCUUUGUUUUAUGCCAUCUACUUCUUCGUCAGCUUCCCAAUGUUCUUGAGGAUUGACGAGAAGCCUGGUGAUCUUUGGGACUUACCAAGAGUGGCAGUUGAUUCUCUAGGAGCAGCAAUGUUGGUAACAAUUUUACUUGAUCUAUGGCGCAUCUUCCUUGGCCCUAUUGUACCACUUCCCAAAAAGCAAUGCUAUCAACCAGGGCUACCAUGGUUUCUUGGACAAACCAAUUGAACUUUGAAAAUUGCAUUGCUGUUGUUAAUGUUAAUGUGAUCUUGUGUUGUACUAUAGUUAUUAUGGUAGUUUUAGCUCUAUUUGUG
rnacentral:misc_RNA from 1 species